UUUAAAAGUAGAAAAUUUUACCAAAUUAUUAAUAGUUAUGUUCUUGAAAGUUAAAUAUUUUGGCGGUAUUUUAGUCUUUUCAGAGGAACCUGUUCUAUAAUUGAUAAUCCACGAUUAAUAAUAUUUUUAUUAGAAAUUUAUAUAUCGUUGUUAAUAAAUAUUUUAUUAGAAUUAAAUAUUUAAAAUUUUUAUAAAAAAAAAAUUCAGAUCAAGAUAUAGUUUAUAUAAAAAAAGAGAUGGGUUACAUUUAUUUUAAUAAUGAAUUAAGUAUUUAAAAUAUUUAUGCAAUUGGAUUUGAAAGUAAUUAAAUUUAUAUUUUUUUAAUGAUUAAGCUCUAAAAUAUGU
rnacentral:rRNA from 1 species